rnacentral:rRNA from 1 species
UACGUAGGGUGCGAGCGUUACUCGGAAUUACUGGGCGUAAAGCGUGCGCAGGCGGCUUGUUAAGCCAGAUGUGAAAGCCCCGGGCUCAACCUGGGAACUGCGUUUGGGACUGGCAAGCUAGAGUACGGCAGAGGGGGGUGGAAUUCCACGUGUAGCAGUGAAAUGCGUAGAGAUGUGGAGGAACACCGAUGGCGAAGGCAGCCCCCUGGGCCGAUACUGACGCUCAGGCACGAAAGCGUGGGGAGCAAACAGG